rnacentral:rRNA from 1 species
GAUGAACGCUGGCGGCGUGCCUAAUACAUGCAAGUCGAGCGAACGGACGAGAAGCUUGCUUCUCUGAUGUUAGCGGCGGACGGGUGAGUAAAACGUGGAUAACCUACCUAUAAGACUGGGAUAACUUCGGGAAACCGUAGCUAAUACUGGAUAAUAUUUUGAACCGCAUGGUUCAAAAGUGAAAGACGGUCUUCCUGUCACUUAUAGAUGGAUCCGCGCUGCAUUAGCUAGUUGGUAAGGUAACGGCUUACCAAGGCAACGAUGCAUAGCCGACCUGAGAGGGUGAUCGGCCACACUGGAACUGAGACACGGUCCAGACUCCUACGGGAGGCAGCAGUAGGGAAUCUUCCGCAAUGGGCGAAAGCCUGACGGAGCAACGCCGCGUGAGUGAUGAAGGUCUUCGGAUCGUAAAACUCUGUUAUUAGGGAAGAACAUAUGUGUAAGUAACUGUGCACAUCUUGACGGUACCUAAUCAGAAAGCCACGGCUAACUACGUG